UUUGAUCCUGGCUCAGGAUGAACGCUGGCGGCGUGCUUAACACAUGCAAGUCGAACGGAGUACCCCUGAAGGAGUUUUCGGACAACUGAUGGGACUACUUAGUGGCGGACGGGUGAGUAACGCGUGAGUAACCUGCCUUGGAGUGGGGAAUAACAGCUGGAAACAGCUGCUAAUACCGCAUAAUAUGUCUGUGUCGCAUGGCACUGGACAUCAAAGAUUUAUCGCUCUGAGAUGGACUCGCGUCUGAUUAGCUAGUUGGCGGGGUAACGGCCCACCAAGGCGACGAUCAGUAGCCGGACUGAGAGGUUGGCCGGCCACAUUGGGACUGAGACACGGCCCAGACUCCUACGGGAGGCAGCAGUGGGGAAUAUUGGGCAAUGGGCGCAAGCCUGACCCAGCAACGCCGCGUGAAGGAAGAAGGCUUUCGGGUUGUAAACUUCUUUUCUCAGGGACGAAGCAAGUGACGGUACCUGAGGAAUAAGCCACGGCUAACUACGUG
rnacentral:rRNA from 1 species